rnacentral:rRNA from 1 species
UACGAAGGGUGCAAGCGUUACUCGGAAUUACUGGGCGUAAAGCGCGUGUAGGCGGUCUGUUAAGUCGGAUGUGAAAUCUCUGGGCUCAACCCAGAAAUCGCAUCCGAUACUGGCAGACUUGAGGAUGGUAGAGGUUGGUGGAAUUCCCGGUGUACCGGUGAAAUGGACAGAUAUCGGGAGGAACACCAGUGGCGAAGGCGGCCAACUGGGCCAUUCCUGGACGCUGAGA